rnacentral:lncRNA from 1 species
UUGUGGUACAAAGCCUUGCACCAAAACCCGAAAAAAUGGGAUUUGGCUGACUCUCGGAUUGAGUUCUGGCGGGCUUGUACCGGUACAAGGUUGUGCUUGUAUCGGUACAAGGUUGAUGGUUGUACCGGUACAGCCAUCGGAGCUUGUACCGGUAUAGAGCCGCAGAGCCCAGCAACCCGAGCCUCGGGUUUGGAUUUCGUGGACCUUGUACCGGUACAAGAGCCNAUUUGGCUGACUCUCGGAUUGAGUUCUGGCGGGCUUGUACCGGUACAAGGUUGUGCUUGUAUCGGUACAAGGUUGAUGGUUGUACCGGUACAGCCAUCGGAGCUUGUACCGGUAUAGAGCCGCAGAGCCCAGCAACCCGAGCCUCGGGUUUGGAUUUCGUGGACCUUGUACCGGUACAAGAGCCCGUGUACCGGUACAAGGGGGCUGAUUUCGUGCAGUUUGAACUGCAGGGGGCUUUUUGCGAUUGUGGACUUCUUAUUAGUACCCCCCACGCCCUAGGGGUCUUCUCUUGAGCUUGGGACUAGCAAGAGGAGAGGUAAGGGAGCCCUCUUUGAUUUUCUUUUGAUCUAUUUGGAUUUUGGUAGGAUUUUAAGAGAUUAAACCUCUCUUUUGCUUCUUUUGCUUGAUUGGAGGCUUUUCUACCUUUGGGGCUUUGUUUUGGAGCUUUGUUGAGGGGAGAUCCUUGGACUUGGAGAGUUUAGAGCUUGGAUUGGAGCUUCUAAGAGGUAAUCUACUUGCUCUCUCCCUCUAGAUUUGAUUUUUGUUGAUGGAUUCAAGAUGAAACCCUAGAUUGGAGAAUUAGGGCUUAUUUUAGGCAUUUUGAUUCUAGGGCUUUUGGAGCUAAAUUUUUUGGAUUAGAACCUUUCUCUAGAUUGGAUUGGAAGGGAUUUAGCUCUCUUUUGGAGCUUGGGAGAGAUUUUCAACUCAUUAGGUGAGUUUUAGCCCUUGUGCUAUAAUUGUUAAUGCUUGAUCUUAUAGAUGAUCGUAAUACUCGUGUAUCUAUUCGUUCAAUACUUUUAGGGUGAUUUGAGACUCAUGGACAACUUCGUUCGGCGAGACGAGGCACUACGCGACGGUUCGGUGGGUUUGACCUAGCCUAUAUAUGAGAAAUUCUCACAUAUGGUUAUACAUGUUCCGUAAAUUGGAAAAGCAUGCAUAUUCAUACUAAAUGUAUUUAUUAUGAUUUUUAGAAUGCUUAAAAUGCAUAUGUUACAUAUGAUCUAUGUAGUAGAGAGUUGCUUGGGAGAUCUAUGGUUGCAUUUAGCAUUCUUUAUGAGACUUGGUUUCAUGCUUCCAUAGUGUAAAUGAGUUCGGAUUCAUACAUUUAAACUUAAGUUUACUUGUGACAUGAAAGAUGACAAAAUUGCCAUUUAGAGGUGUUGAACUAGAAGGUAUGUGAACUAGAGAGCUAAUGUCAUCAAGCGGCAUUGAGCUCGGGACAUGUGUGAACCUAGUGGAUAGGACCAUUGAGUAAUGUGGAACAUGCUUAAACAUUAAAUGUCUAAGUGUCAUAAAGGGGCACUAGACCUAGAGAAUGUUGGAACUUCAUUUGUGACUUAGAACUAGAUCUUCGAGAUGCUAGUGACUAUACCAUGUUAGAGACAUGAGGGUUGGAUACUUGAGCCAUCGACUACGCUUGUUUGCCUUUUGUGCUCAUUCGCACAUGCUUGUGAGGGUCGCUCCCUACAAGCCGGCACUCCGGAGUUAGCCUACGCGACUUUUGUUCGCUCGUGCGGUUUUGAGAAGCCUACGGGGUCGAGUGGGAUAGACACAUUCCAAGAGUAGGGAUGUCGGGCUACCACAGAAACUUAGGCGGCACAAGCUGGACUACAUUGGGUAGGUCCCUUAUUGGAAAUGGGAACCGACACGAUAUUGAGUGUGUGAUAAUCACUACUAGACAGAUAGUAGUAGCUGGAUUACUUGGACUUACUUCUAGCAUAGAUAUGGACAUUUGGGUAUUCAUACAUACAUGUAGUGUCACGCCCCGGCACGUGCCCAGACCCGCCAUACGUCUAAAACAUAUAAGGCGUCUAAGAACAACAAUAAUAAAAGCAAUAAUAAAAGACAUCUAGGAGUAUCAGAGCAUAAUAAAUGUCUAAAUGCUACAACAAGGGAUAAGGAUAAAACUGUAAAUCCACUAAAUAAAACAUAAAGUGAUACAAGAAAAUCCCAGAUACAAGUGCUAUAGGUAGAUACAUAGGUGGUCUCUAUACAUGGAUACAAAAACCUCUCACUCUCUCAACUACAAAAGAAAGAGUAAACCACCUAGGUNGCCAAACACUCCAAUCAACUCUAACUUUUUAGAGUUAUCAUAAUACCCAAUCAUGAUACUUUCGCUCACAAGUCGAAUAGACCUCGUCUCUCACGAGCCUAUUUCCUAUAGUCCAACCGGCCUAAGGUCUGCUAGAUCCACUAAGACUCAACCCUAGGCUCUGAUACCAAAUUAAUCUGUCACGCCCCGGGACCAAGCGGAAGCCCGCCCGGCGCGUGCCCAGACCCGCCAUACGUCUAAAACGUACAAGGCGUCUAAAAACAACAAUAAACAAAGCAAUAAAAAAAAAAAAGACAUCUAGGAGUAUCAGAGCAUAAUAAAUGCCUAAAUGCUACAACCAGGGAUAAGGAUAAAACUGUAAUUCCACUAAAUAAAACAUAAAGUGAUACAAGGAAAACCCAGAUACAAGUGCUAUAGGUAGAUACAUAGGUGGUCUCUAUACCUGGAUACAAAAACCUCUCACUCUCUCAACUACAAAAGAAAGAGUAAACUACCUAGGCAAAGUACCGCUCCUCGCUAGCUAGCUAAGCGAUCCCCUUGCCGCGAUCCCGUGCCUCCGCCGGUGCCGAAGGCUCUGAAAAGUAAACCAUAAAACAGGGGCGUGAGAACUAUUAAAAAUAGUUCCCAGUGGGCAAUUACUGACUUCAGUGAAUGCACCACGAGGCCCAAAGCUACAAAAGAUGUCAGUGACUAUAAAAGUAGAAAAGCGAAAGGUAAGUAAAAAAAGGUAACUUACUACAACAUGAUAUCUCUACUUAACAUAAUUAGCAUAAGUAUGAAGCAACUAUGCAUGAAGUAAAAGUCUCGAACUAUCAUAAUGCUCACAAUGCGAAAUAGUAAAGUUCCGUUGUUUACUAUUCCGGUCAAUGUCCAAGUAGUACACUAAGUCAUCAUCUGUCCACAUGUCAUAAUGAAUACUCAAAGUCAAAUCUGAAGAGACCCACCCGAAGGCUUUCUAUGGCCCUGAGACCCACCCGUAGGCUGUCUGGCUGGUGCAGAGCCUAAUGGCCCCGUGGUAGUCAUCAUCCCGACCUUAGGAAUGAGCCUGUCCCACGGCAAUCCACUUCGGCGCCCAAUCACGCACGGCGAAUGUGAAUCGCGAUGGCUAUCUCCGGAGUGCCGGCUUGUAGGGAGCGACCCUCACAAGCAUGUGCGAAUGAGCACAAUGGCAAGUAGUCAAACGAUCUGUCGCAAGUACCAAGUCCUCAUGUCUAAUAACAUGGAAUGUGUCAAGUAUCUCAAUGGCCUAUCCCUAUGUCAUCAUGUCUCUAACAUGGAAUAUAGCAGAUAUGUAGUGGCCUAUCAAUAUGUCUCUACGUUGCAGUUUCAUAGUUUACUAGUUUCAAGUGCCUCUUUAUGACACUCUUGUAAUCUAUGCCAAAGCAUGGCAACUAUGUUCCAAAGUACAUAUUCCAAGUCAUAAUCCUCAUAAGUGGUGUAUUUUUCACUUGCAAAUAAACACUUUUCCUAUAUGCAUGCAUUCUACUCAUAUAGCUCUACUAUAUAGUGAAGUUUUCAUAAUACACAAGGCAUGCAUUUUAAGUGCUCUAAAAUUCAUAUAAAUUUCAUUUAGCAUAGAAAUGAAUUUAAAAAAUAUUUUACAACAAAUAGAAAGAGCAUAGGGGUCAUUUCGUUCCAUUUCCACGAAGCCAAACCCACCGUCGUCAACGAAAGCUUUCGUUUGCCACGACGAAGGCGUCCACCACACUCCUAAUACCCUAAAGGUAUGAAAACAAGUGUCAUCUAGUCGAAACGAAUGACGCUAAGUUCAACCAUUAACCAACUCAAGCUAGGGUUGGGAAAAACUCACCUCAAGUGAAAAACCCUCUCUUAAUCUUCAAAUGGAAGGUAGGGGUCUUCCAAUCUAACCUAUAUAAAGGUUCCAAACCCAUCAAAAAGGUUUCAAAGCCCUCAAAUCAAAAAGCCCCAAAUCUAACCCUAGAAUCCCAAUCUAGGGUUUCAUCUAGUAAAACCUAAAAAAACAUGUAUCAAGUAGGGAUUACAUGCUACCAACCUCAAGAGGAGCUUCAAUCCAAGCUCAAAACCAAGUAGGGUUGAAGUUUGAUCCUCCACAAAGCUCCAACCGCAAGCUCGAAGCCACCAAGGUGAGAAAAUGGGGAAGAAGAUGAUGCUCCAAAGCCUCCAAGCAAGCUCCUUCUCCUCUUCUUCUUCUUCUUCUUCUUCUCCCUCUCUUCUUCUCUCUCUAGAAUAGGUGGGAAGGGAAGAAAUGAGGAGAGAAGAGGGUGAAAUGGCCAAAUAGGCCAUUAAAAGCAACAAAAUCCACUUAGGUCCCUCAAAAACUCAAAUUUACAUCAGCCCGGUCUGGGCAGUUUUCGCCCAGAGGGACCGGUCUCCCCGACCUGGGACCGGUCUCUCAGCCUGCCCCCGAAAAUCCAACGUUCGGGAACCGGUCUCUCCCUGCGCGGGACCGGUCUCUCCCCGCGCAGACGCGCUCGGGGACCGGUCUCGACUGCCAGGGACCGGUUGCCUCGCCGGCUGCGCAGCACUGUUCACUGGGGGACCGGUCUCUCCUAUCAGGGACCGGUCCCCGAGAGUAAAAACUCUCAGGACUCUGCCAAAACUCUCGAGAUCGAACUUUUAGGCCGGUAUACCAUCGACGGCCCUCCACCAAGUGUGGAAAAGUUCGGAAUACAAAUCGAACACUCGAACCUCGCAAUUUGCAAAGGUCCAGUGUGCUACAUGUAGUAUGCUAGGAGAUGUUCUUUAAUGCAUCCUUAUAUGCAUUGUAGCCAUGACAAAGUAUCGCUUUCAUAUCUGUACAAAGUAAAUGAUGAUAUUACUUGUGAACAUGUAGAUUUACAUAUCAUCCAUGACAAGAUAAAGUCGCAUUAUAAAUGCCAUGUUUAAUUGUAAGUUGUAGUUUAGCAUCUUAAUUAUGCUUUCUUAUACGCAAUUUACUCGUUACUAUUAUUGUUGGGCUUACCCCCUUCUUUUCUUUCAGGGCCUAGUGGAGCAAUGAGUUGAGGUCUGUAAUUGCCCACUGGGAACUAUAAAUUAUAGUUCUCACGCCCUCUUUUUCUCGAUGUUUUUCUGAGCCUUCCACGCAGGGUAAGGCUAGGAAUCGCGGGAAGGGAGUUGCUUCGCGCUAGCUUCCUUCGAGGACGAGUUGCUAGGUGGUCUACCUCUCGAUAUUUACUUUUUUUAGCGAGAGGUUGAGGGUUUUGCCAGUGUAUAAAGACCACCAUUUUUGUACUAGAGACAGAUAUUGUACUACUUAUGUUUUCUUUUAUUGACUAGCUUUAUUUCUUUACCUUGAUGUAGAUGAUAGAACUUUAUUUGCUCUGAUAUCAUUAGUUGCCAGUUAUUUCACUUCUUUUAUUUGUUCUAUCUCCUGCUUUACUUCCACUUUUAUUGUAGACGCCCGAUAUGUGUAGACAUAUGGCGGGUCUGGGCACGCUACCGGGAGGGCCUUCGCCGGUCCCGGAGCAUGACAUAUUAAUUUGGUAUCAGAGCCUAGGGUUGAGUCUUAGUGGACCUAGUGAACCUUAGGCCGGUUGGACUAUAGGAAUUAGGCUCGUGAGAGGCGGGGUCUAAUUAACUUGUGAGCGAAAGUAUUGUGAUUGGGUUUAUGACAACUCUAAAAAGUUAGAGUUUGAUCGGAGUGUAUGGCUUCUAACUUCGCGGAGGGUUACGUUGGCGGCCGACAACGUAACAUCGGGAGUUAGUAGUGAAGGACACUUCCUUACUUUCGUAUGAUUUGGGGUUUUAUCUAUUUGAGCGGGGAUGCGAUAGCGUGGGUUACUAACUUGCGCUUUUAUGUUUUGUAGUGACGAUGCCGGUUACACGCUCCCAGUUUGCCGGGGCGUAUGACGCGGCACACCCCGAGGAGGUCGAGACCCCCGCUACUUCCGGAUCUAGUGAGGUCCGCGACUUGAGGGGCCAGCUUGCGGUUCUCACGGAUCUGUUGGCGCAGCAGACGGCAGCGGCACAGCGACAGGCUGAGGUGGCUCAGCGGUAGGAGGCGCGGAUGAAGCAUCUUCAGGACCUCCUACUGCAGCAGGCGGCAGCUUCGAGGGAGACCUAGGGUCCCACACAGCCAGCACCCGUGGUGGACGUCGCACCGAGGGCGCAGUCCCCCGCGCCCAGUUCCUCACGUGCGGCACCGGCGACCGCACCUCGGGAGGAGGUGGUUGCGGCAUUACCAGUUUAGAGACCGGCCACGGGAGCAGCUUUUCCCGUGGUGGCCGAGGGAGCCGAGCGGGAUCGGCUUAUGGAUCGCCUCAGCGAGCUCAGGAGGUGCAGCCCGAGGACGUUUGAUGGCGAGAACGUCGACCACUGGAUUGUUGAGAAGUGGUUGAUGCAUAUGGAGAAGCUGUUUCGAGAUACCUUCGUCGAGGAGAGGGACAGGGUUUGGCUCGCCACUCACUUUCUGGACGGCGAGGCCUAUCGUUGGUGAUUGGAUAUCCAGGACAACCCCGACACCGACUUGGCGGCGAUUACUUGGACACGAUUCAAGGAGCUUCUAUUGGCGCACCACUUUCCUACCAGCGUCAAGAGGAAGAUGGAGCAGGAUUUGCGCAGCUUGCGCCAGGAUGAGCGGUCAGUGGCUGAGUACGAGAGGGAGUUCUUCCGGAUACUACACUGUGUACCGUUUGUUGUGAGGGACGACAAGGACAAGGCCCGCAUCUUUGAGUGUGGUUUGCGGCCUUCUAUCUUCCGGUUGGUGCAGUCUUCCAACCUCCAGACCUACCGGGAGGUUGUGGAUCGAGCUUUGAUCGUGGAGGCGGGAGCGGUGGAUCUGCAGGAGCGUCGUGAGAGCUCGGAGAAGGGGAAAGGGAAGAGGCCCGCGGCUGAGGGUGCGAGUCAGAUGCACUCACGGAGGCCGCCGAGGCACCCCAGAAGCCGGAGCCAGUCGCGGGGACGUGGCUCAUCUACUCAGCGAGGAGGACCCGAUCGUCGCCAGGCCCCCCGCUGCGUGAUCUGUGGCGGUCCUCAUUACCCGCGGCAGUGUUCACGCAGCCGGGGCAGGUGCUUCUUGUGUGGCCAGGAGGGCCACUUCCAGUCGGACUGCCCGAGGAGUCCAUUGCCAGCGCCAUCUUCGGCAUCUGCACCAGCUUCGCCAGGUCCCAGUCAGAGGACAUCUUCUGCGCAUCACCAGGCAGGGCGGCCGCUAGUUCUGCGGCAGGCGGAGGGGUCAGGACAGGCCCCGAGCAGGCGCAUAUACGCGGCCCAGACUGAGGAGGCGGCGGCAGCCGAGAAUGUGGUCGCAGGUAUCAUUUUACUUCAUGGUAUUCGAGUUAGAGCUUUGUUUGAUACCGGUGCAUCACAUUCAUUCAUUGAUCGACUGUUUGCUGAGCUGCAUGGCAUCCCACUUGUAUCCCUGUUGCACCCGGGACGAGUCGUUGUACCCGACCAUUCUUUGGACAUUCGGAAGUUUUGCCCCAGCUGCCCUAUUCGGGUUGGAGAUUGGAUCAUGCCCAUAGAUUUGCUAGCCUUGCAUAAACUCAGGGAGUUUGACGUUGUGUUGGGCAUGGAUUGGUUGACUAAGUACUACACCGCUAUCGAUUGCAAAGAUCGAACGGUGAUUUUUAGAGAGCCAGGGCAGGCGGAGGUUGUGUACCGAGGAUGCCAGAGUUCGCUGUUUGCGAUGACGAUUAGCUCCUCUCGAGCUAGGCAGUUGAUUAGUAGAGGCUGCGUAGCCUACUUGGCUACUGUUGUGUUGCGGGGCGAGGAUGACGCCCCUAGGAUUGAGGAUAUCCCCGUAGUGCGGGAGUUUGGAGAUGUGUUUCCAGCGGAGCUUCCAGGCAUGCCCCCUGAUAGGGAGAUUGAGUUUGUGGUAGAUCUCGUCCCCGGGACUACCCCAAUCUCAAAGGCGCCCUAUAGGAUGGCACCAGCAGAGUUGAAGGAGCUGAAGGCACAGUUGCAGGAUCUUCUGGAUAAGGGUUUUGUGCGACCGAGUGUGUCACCUUGGGGAGCACCGGUUUUGUUUGUGAAGAAGAAGGAUGGAUCACUUCGCUUAUGCGUGGACUAUCGUGAACUCAAUAAAGUCACGAUUAAGAACAAGUAUCCAUUACCGAGGAUUGAUGAUCUAUUUGAUCAGCUCCAGGGAUCUUGUGUAUAUUCCAAGAUUGACUUGCAGUCGGGAUAUCACCAGUUGAGGAUCAGACCUGAGGAUGUGUCGAAGACGGCUUUUAGAACACGGUAUGGACAUUAUGAGUUUACUGUUAUGCCGUUUGGGCUUACUAAUGCCCCGGCAGCUUUUAUGGAUCUGAUGAACCGUGUUUUUAAGCCUUAUUUAGACAGAUUCGUUGUGGUGUUUAUCGACGACAUCUUAGUGUAUUCCCGGAGUGACGCGGAUCACGAGGAGCACUUGAGACUUGUACUUCAAGUGCUUCGGGAAAAGAAGCUCUAUGCCAAGUUGAAGAAGUGUGAAUUUUGGCUUAGAGAGGUGGCGUUUUUGGGCCACGUGAUUUCAGGAUCAGGCAUAGCCGUGGACCCGAGGAAAAUUGAAGCUAUCAAGGAUUGGCCGAGGCCGACGAGCGUGACCGAGAUACGGAGCUUCAUUGGUUUGGCCGGCUACUACCGACGGUUUGUCGAGGGAUUUGCGAAGUUAUCUACUCCCCUCACGAGACUCACGCAUAAGGGCACCAAGUUUAUUUGGAAUGAUGCGUGUGAAAGGAGCUUCCAAGAGUUGAAGCAGCGAUUGACGACCGCCCCGAUCCUAACCUUGCCGACUGCCGGGGCAGGGUAUGUGAUUUAUAGUGAUGCUUCCUUUAAUGGAUUGGGCUGUGUUUUGAUGCAGGACGGGAAAGUGAUCGCGUAUGCAUCUCGCCAACUGAAGGAUUAUGAAAAGAAUUACCCCACCCACGACUUGGAGUUGGCGGCCGUAGUCUUUGCAUUGAAGCUAUGGCGCCACUACUUAUAUGGCGAGCGGUGCGAAGUAUAUACGGAUCACAAGAGCUUAAAGUACCUAUUCACUCAGAAGGAGUUGAACUUGAGGCAGCGCAGAUGGUUGGAGCUACUCAAGGAUUAUGAUUUGACGAUACUUUACCACCCGGGUAAGGCUAACGUGGUGGCGGAUGCGCUAAGUAGGAAAUCGACUGAGAACUUAGCGAUGCUUGUGGUUACUCAACCGCCGUUGAUCGAGCAGAUGAAGCGGUUGGAGUUGGAGGUGGUGGCUCCUGAUACACCUUUGAGACUGAUGACUUUGGUGGUGCAACCUACACUUUUGGAAAGGAUUAAAGAAAAGCAAGCUUCCGACUCGGAGUUGCAAAAGGUUCGAACUAAGAUGGUUGAUGGUUGCACCGGUGACUUCACUUUAGACGGUGAUGGAUUGAUGCGUUUCCGCGGACGACUUUGUGUACCGGCGGACUUGGGCAUUAAAGAGGAUAUUCUUCAAGAAGCACAUCGAGCACCGUAUGCUUUACAUCCGGGAGGCACCAAGAUGUACAUGGACUUGAAGUUGCUUUAUUGGUGGCCCGGGAUGAAAAAGGAUGUUGGUGAGUUCGUUGCUAGAUGUUUAACUUGCCAACAGGUGAAGGCUAAGCACCGAGUUCCUGCGGGGAAGCUGCAGAGCCUACCGGUUCCAGUGUGGAAGUAGGAAAAGGUCACCAUAGAUUUUGUGAUGGGAUUGCCUCGCUCACAGGCCGGGCAUGAUGCUAUUGGGUGAUUGUGGAUAGGUUGACGAAAUCGGCACAUUUCAUACCUAUCCACACUACUUGGACUGGUGAGAGACUCGCACAGGUUUAUUUGGAUGAGAUUGUGCGAUUACACGAGGUACCUACUUCCAUAGUAUCAGAUCGAGACCCCCGUUUUGUAUCCCACUUUUGGAGGAGCUUACAGAACGCUCUGGGUACGCGUUUGGACUUCAAUACAGCUUUCCACCCCCAGAGUGACGGGCAGUCGGAGCGUACUAUACAGACUCUCGAGGACAUGCUUCGAGCCUGCGUGAUCGACUUCCAGGGAGGUUGGCCGCAGCAUCUACCGAUGGCAGAGUUUGCUUAUAACAACAGUUAUCAAGCAAGUAUCAAGAUGGCACCAUUCGAGGCACUCUAUGGACGGAAGUGUAGGUCGCCGUUUCAUUGGAGUGAAGUUGGCGAGAGAUUGGCUUUAAGCCCAGAUGUGCUCCAGGAAGCAGAGGACAAGGUUCACAUUGCUCGGGAGCGAUUUUUGAUGGCCCAGAGUAGGCAGAGGAGUUAUGUUGACAGGCGGUGACGAGACUUGGAGUUUCAGAUUGGAGAUCACGUCUUCUUGAAAGUCUCGCCGACUCGAGAAAUUAGACGAUUUGGAAUCCGGGGCAAGUUGAGCCCCAGAUUCAUUGGACCGUUUGAGGUUUUGGAGUGGAUAGGCCCGGUAGCGUAUAGACUUGCCCUACCGCCGAACCUAUCGGGUGUACACAAUGUAUUCCAUGUAUCGGUUCUUCGGAAGUACAUCCACGACCCGGCUCAUGUAUUGGAUGCUACACCUAUGGAGCUGCGGGAGGAUUUGAGCUUUGAGGAGCAACCCUUGAGAAUUUUGGCUCGCGAGGUGAAAAGAUUGCGGAACUGGAAAAUUCCCUACGUGAAGGUGCUUUGGAGCAACCACGACGAGCGCGAGGCCACUUCGGAGUUAGAGAGCGCACUACGGGAGCGCUAUUCCCAUCUUUUUCAGAUGGAGGCUUGAGGUACUUUGUUUGUUUUGAGUUUCGCGGACGAAACUCCUUUUUAGGAGGGGUGAAUGUAACACACUGGACCUUUACAAAUUGCGAGGUUCGAGUGAUUGGCCGUGUUCUGAGCUUUUCCACAUUUUCUGAUGGGUCGUUGACUGUGUUCCGACCUAUGGCACGUGUCCCGAAAUUUGUGGUACAAAGCCUUGCACCAAACCCGAAAAAACGGGAUUUGGCUGACUCUCGGAUUGAGUUCUAGCGGGCUUGUACCGGUACAAGGUUGUGCUUGUACCGGUACAAGGUUGAUGGUUGUACCGGUACAGCCAUCGGAGCUUGUACCGGUACAGAGCCGCAGAGCCCAGCAACCCGAGCCUCGGGUUUGGAUUUCGUGGACCUUGUACCGGUACAAG